rnacentral:rRNA from 1 species
GGAUCAGUGGCGAACGGGUGAGUAACACGUGAGCAACCUGCCCUGGACUCUGGGAUAAGCGCUGGAAACGGCGUCUAAUACUGGAUAUGAGACGUGAUCGCAUGGUCAACGUUUGGAAAGAUUUUUCGGUCUGGGAUGGGCUCGCGGCCUAUCAGCUUGUUGGUGAGGUAAUGGCUCACCAAGGCGUCGACGGGUAGCCGGCCUGAGAGGGUGACCGGCCACACUGGGACUGAGACACGGCCCAGACUCCUACGGGAGGCAGCAGUGGGGAAUAUUGCACAAUGGGCGGAAGCCUGAUGCAGCAACGCCGCGUGAGGGAUGACGGCCUUCGGGUUGUAAACCUCUUUUAGCAGGGAAGAAGCGAAAGUGACGGUACCUGCAGAAAAAGCGCCGGCUAACUACGUGCCAGCAGCCGCGGUAAUACGUAGGGCGCAAGCGUUAUCCGGAAUUAUUGGGCGUAAAGAGCUCGUAGGCGGUUUGUCGCGUCUGCUGUGAAAUCCCGAGGCUCAACCUCGGGCCUGCAGUGGGUACGGGCAGACUAGAGUGCGGUAGGGGAGAUUGGAAUUCCUGGUGUAGCGGUGGAAUGCGCAGAUAUCAGGAGGAACACCGAUGGCGAAGGCAGAUCUCUGGGCCGUAACUGACGCUGAGGAGCGAAAGGGUGGGGAGCAAACAGGCUUAGAUACCCUGGUAGUCCACCCCG